UCAUUUUUAUUGACUCUAUUUUCAGGACGCACUGCAGAGGAUGUAAACGAAUGCUUAGGCUUUAAUUUAGGAGCUACUGUCACUGCAGAUACUGCAGAAGCCAAAGCGCAUAUUAAAGCUAACCAAUGUAAAGCCAGUGGAUUUCAAAACGUUGAUGAAGUGAAACGGAGUGGGAUUAUCCAAGAUAUAGUCUCUAUGGUUCAAGGUGGGACAACAGCUGCCUUAACCAAGUUGAACGAGUUGCUUUCAUCAAAUGUAAGGCUAAUUGAUGUAGAAAACUAUGUCGAAUGGGCUGCUACACUACCUCAAGCUCCCGCAGUGAUAAGACAAGAGUUAACCUCAAUCUCGGAACUUGUACCGCUGAAAAUCCCAGACUCUCGAAAAAA